rnacentral:rRNA from 1 species
GACGAACGCUGGCGGCGUGCUUAACACAUGCAAGUCGAACGGUGAAGCGAGUGCUUGCACUCGUGGAUCAGUGGCGAACGGGUGGGUAACACGUGAGCAACCUGCCCAUCACUCUGGGAUAAGCACUGGAAACGGUGUCUAAUACUGGAUACGACCAACCCUUGCAUGGGGUGUUGGUGGAAAGAUUUAUCGGUGAUGGAUGGACUCGCGGCCUAUCAGCUUGUUGGCGGGGUAAUGGCCCACCAAGGCGACGACGGGUAGCCGGCCUGAGAGGGUGACCGGCCACACUGGGACUGAGACACGGCCCAGACUCCUACGGGAGGCAGCAGUGGGGAAUAUUGCACAAUGGGCGAAAGCCUGAUGCAGCGACGCCGCGUGAGGGAUGACGGCCUUCGGGUUGUAAACCUCUUUCAGCAGGGAAGAAGCGAAAGUGACGGUACCUGCAGAAGAAGCACCGGCUAACUACGUG